GAUGAACGCUGGCGGCGUGCUUAACACAUGCAAGUCGAACGGGAAUUAUUUUAUUGAAUCUUCGGUCGAUUUAAGUGAAUUCUAGUGGCGGACGGGUGAGUAACGCGUGGGUAACCUGGCUUAUACAGGGGGAUAAAAGUCAGAAAUGGCUGCUAAUACCGCAUAAGCGCACAGAGCUGCAUGGCUCAGUGUGAAAAACUCCGGUGGUAUAGGAUGGACCCGCGUUGGAUUGGCUGGAUGGGGGGGUAACGGCCCACUAAGGCGACGAUCCAUAGCCGGGCUGAGAGGGUGAGCCGCCACUUUGGGACUGAGACACGGCCCAGACUCCUACGGGAGGCAGCAGUGGGUAAUAUUGCACAAUGGGGUGAAUCCUGAUGCAGCGCCGCCGCGUGAAGGAAGAAGUAGCUCGGUAUGUAAACUUCUAUCAGCAGGGACGAUAGUGACGGUACCUGACGAAGAAGCCCCGGCUAACUACGUG
rnacentral:rRNA from 1 species